GAACGGCUGAAGUGCCUUGGCAAAUCCCAGGUUGAGUUGAUAGCCAGGUCUUGUUAAGAAACCCUAAAGCAAGUUUUAGGACCCAAGAGCAAAUAAUUCACGGCUAAUCCUUAGCAUGAAAAUCAAGGUGAGAGCGAAAGCAAGCAAAAGAGGGAGAAAGAGAGAGAACAUCAGGGGAAUGAAUGCGCGAAAGAAAAGAUGACACAGGUGUGAUGCUGUGCAACAUAUUCCAAGGCCUUGGCUCUGCUCUACCUCAGUGCAAGGGGCAGCAGUACUUAGUACAGUGCUUGUUAUUGGGUUGGCCAUAAAGUUUCCGUAUGGAAAAACCCGAAGACCACGUGCUACGAAGCAGCUGAGCCUCUACUCCACAACUGUGAAGCCUGUGCUCUGCAACAAAAGAAGCUGCUGCAAUGAGAAGCCUGUAUGUCACAACUAGAGAAUGGCUACCACUGGCUGCAACCAGAGAAAAGCCUGUGCAGCGAUGAAGACCCAGCACAGCCAAAAAUAAAUCAAUAAAAUCAUUUUUUUAAAGAGCUCUACAGAUGAUUCUGCUAGUGCUGAAGUGCUAGUCCAGAGAGGUUGUAGUAAGAUAAAAGAACAUAGCAUCUGUCCAUUUUUAUGUCUGUACCUAGAUACUCUAUGCUCCCAGGAUACUGAAAGAGUUAGCAAGUGUGAUCUCCAAGUCAACAUUAAUUCUUUAGGGGACGCCACAGAAAAUAAGUGAGGGCUCUAAAGGGUCUUGAUUUUAAAAAGAAGGGUGAAGAUUAUCAUUUUUAAAAAUUACUUACAAUGUGAAGUUGAUUGCUUACAAAAAUUUGAACUGCUUGCUAAACAAUGUGUGAACAUUUGGGAAAUGACACGGGAGUCUAGAAUUCAAUCUGGAUUAACUAAGAAAAUUGAUGCCUCGGUCUUUGUUUAUGUUUUUUUGGGGGAUAGUGUUAAAUACAUUGUUAGUCUAUAAACUCAUUUAUUUUAGAAGUAAACAUGCCAAAACUCUGAAGACUGUUGUUUUUCUGAUCAUACUUUAUUUUAAUCAUUUUUGUACAUCUCUCUUCUGUAUUAGAUUAUGGCUUCUUUGUAGCUCCAAUGCUAGCACAAUUUCUGGCACAUAAUUUCACAUUCCAAAUGUUUAUGUAAAUUGAAUCAAAAUUUAUCCUUGUGUAGAAGAUAAAAAUACAGGCUAGGU
ensembl:lncRNA